rnacentral:lncRNA from 1 species
CCAAAUAUCCUACAAAUUGAACUUCAGAUCCAGGCAGAGUCUGCUACUGAAUUAGCUGCAAUAAAAUUUCUUCUUUUCCCAGGCAAGCAUAAUCCAGGAUCACAAUUUCUCUGGGAGAGAUGGCAAGGCUCUAGCAAAACUGGGAAAGAGGCAAAGGGGAAGCAUAAUCUUUUUUUGUCCCUAUUGGCCAAGUCAACAUCAAGAAGAAAUAAGAACAUUUUGGGGCUCUUGAGCAGAAUCUUUGCUGAGUUUUCCUGAUUGCUUGGAGGUAUUUUCCCCAAACAUUUAUUCAAGGUCUGCGGUCAGUCAGCCUUGUCUGAUCCUGGGGAGAAACAGGAAGGCAGCUAGCCAUAUGGAGAGGCUCCGAUGUUGAGGAAUGUCAGGCUGGUAGCCAUCUGCCAAGAAGUGGGCAGAAGCUAGGAGGCAGCCAGAAGAUCUGCAGCAAAGUCUGGGAUCCCAGACAGCUUUGAAGGGUGGUUCAAGGAAAG